GCCUGAGAGCCUUUUAAAUUUGAAAUUGUGGUAAUUUGGAGGGAGAGGGUUUACGUUUUCCAUUUCACAGGAGGCUUUUGCCUUCCUUCACAGACUCCUGUCUUUUCAAACCAAGACAGGAGCUGAUGUCUUUCCUACAAUUUGCAGACAGGCUGUCUGCCUCUGUUGAGAAGAAGGUGGGAGAUCCUGAGGCAAGAAAGCUUUUGCUUAAACACGUUGCCAGAAGUAACUGCAAUGCUGAUUUCAAUGCCGAUUGUAGGAGAAUCAUAGAGGCUCUUCCUGGUGAUCCUUCUGUCCCUCAGAUAGCAGAGGCUUGUGCAAAGGUAGGCACCUCAGGUUGUAGGAUAGCUGCCUCAGCUGCUACGCUGCAGCCCGCCCUGGCUGCCCCUGUGCAGCCUGCCAUGGCUACUGCUGUGCAGUCAGUCUGGACAGUGCCACAGGGUGGGCAGCAGCAGCAGGGAUAUGCUCAGGCCAGCAAGAAAGGAAAAAAGAAGGUACAGCAGGGCACAACUCCCUUGUUUUUGUGUGGUCAGUGUGGAAGGCCCAACCAUACUGCAAAUGUCUGCAAGGUGACUGUUCAUGCUAAUGGCCAGGCUUUGCUGGGCUCGGGAAACAGGAAUCAGAGCGUGAAGGGGGCACGUACCCAGACACAAGCUUCUCUCAACAACCCAGAUCCGAUGGAGGUCUGCUAGCUGGCUUGCAGCCAGCACCCGAGGUUCAGCAGGUGUUGAUGUCUGCACAGCAGCAACAGUUGUCAUAGAUUCUGGCAAAAUCCAUAAGGUUCCCUUGGUGCUAUUGCUCCAUUGGGUGAGGGCAUGAUUGCUCUCCUUGUGGGGAGAUCUAGUGCCACCCUUCAGGGCAUCAUUGUGCAAGUGGGAUUUAAUUGAUGCAGAUUUCAUGGCACAGAUUUUUGCCAUGGUCUCUACGCCCACCCCCCCCGUCACUAUCCCGAAGGGGACACAAAUUGCUCAAUUUGUGCCUUUUAAGUCUUCUGUUCGCAGGACAGCUGAUCAGUUGCAAGGUGACAGCGGCUUUGGAUCCACUGGGUCACCUCAAGUUCACUGGUCUGCCAUCCUGACCGAGAAAUGUCCCAGGAUGCUGUGUAUUCUGUCCAUCCCUGGCGCGACACUGCCAGAGAUUUGUCUCCACAGGCUUCUUGACAGUGGCGUGGACAUCACAGUUCUCACCCUUCCCACCUGGUCCCCGGAAUGGCCCUUGGAUCCUAUGGGAUUGGGAGGAACAGCAUGCUGCUAUGUGAGCCAGCAGCCUGUGCUGAUCGCAAACCCAGAGGGACAGACGGCCAUGAUUCGGCCUCACAUUACUUCAGUGAGCUUUAACCUCUGGGGAAGGGUUGUUCUGUCCACUAGGGGGUGCACAUCGGGACGGAUUUUUUGAUGGGGACCACUGUGAUGAAGAGCGCAGAGUGUCCUACACUUCCUUUACGGUGGCUGGUGGACAGACCCGUCUGAGAGAACCAGUGGCCCCUCCCUCAAGACAAAUUAGUCCCCCUUCGAAACCUGGUGCAGGGCCAGUUGGACCAGGGUCAUCUGCAGCCUUCUACCAGUCCCUGGAGCACUCCUCUCUUCUGCAUCAAGAAGAAAUCUGGGAAAUGGAGGUUGUUACAUACCUCUGAAAGGUUUCCAAGAGGACACAGCUGGGGUUUCCACUGGACCAACUGCACCUUUUCUACAGGACUACUGCUCCAACAGAACCACAUCUGCCAUUCCAAGAGGACUGCAGCCACUCCAAUUUGGACUGCUACCAACAUGCUGGCCAAAGUGGUGUCAGGUUUUAUUCUGACUUUGUCGGUGGUCUGCCUUUUGUAUCAUUGCAUGUAUUUUGUCUCUUUUCCCUUUUCCCAGUAAAUUGUAUUUCUGACUUGGAGUCUCUCAGCAUGGCUUUUUCCGUCAGAGUGCUCAUACCUUGCAGAAGCAGUUUCAGCUGAUGGCAAAUGAGACUCAUCGAGUCGUGUGAUGGCUGUCACGUGCUUGCUGCACCUCUGCCUGCAGGGGUAAACCCCAGAGGCCUUCGGGCCUUGGAGCUUUGGCAGACCGAUGUCACCCAGAUUGCCGAGUUUGGCUGGCUCAAGUAUGUGCAUGUCACGGUGGACACGUUCUCCUCUGCGAUGUGGGCUUCCGCUCACACUGGAGAAAAGGCUCGUGAUGUCAUUGCCCACUGGAGGCAGGCCUUUGCCAUUCUGGGCAUACCUUCUGCUGUGAAAACCGACAAUGGUCCUGCUUAUGCAUCGCAGCAGGUGCGGCAGUUCCUGCAGUUGUGGGGUGUGUCACACAAGUUUGGUGUCCCCCAUUCUCCAACUGGCCAAGCUAUUGUAGAACGCUCUCAUGGUACUCUGAAGCGGGUUCUUCAAAAACAAAAACGGGGAAUGCAGGGUGAGACCCUACACAGUGGGUUGGCAAAAGCUUUGUCAUCAAACAUCCUACGGUGCAGCAGAAUUCAAAUAACCCUGUCAUUUUGAAUCAUCACCUUUUGUUGCAGUCUCUGGACGAGACACAUCAGCCUCGAGCGAAGGUUCGGGUGUGGAAUUUAGUCACCAAACAAUUGGAAGAUCCCUAUGAACUUAUCACUUUGGAAUGUGAGUAUGCAUGCAUAUCCACAGAUACCAGGGUACGCUGGGUACCUUCGAAGUGUGUUCGUCCUGACCAGUGACCCCAGAGACAGCAUCCGGCUGACAUGCAGAAUGGAAACUGUGACCAAACUGGAAGUCAUCAAGUGGGUGGACCAUUGAGUGAUUACUCAGAUGCAGACGACGCGAGUGAUCACUCCAAUGAUUCCUCCAUGAGUGGACACUGAACAUUGUUCAUUUUUCUUUUUAACAUUGUUAAAUUUUCCCUUUCGAUAAUGUUCAUUUUUUUUUUUUUUUCUUUUUUGACAGAAAAAGGGUGAGAUGUUGACCUGAUUUUUAAAAGUGUUUUAUAGUUCUUUUGAAAGUUGUAAAGUUCUCAUAAAACUUCUUUAGCCUUCUGGUAAUGUUUACUGUUGUGGUUUGACAUGGAAGUGAAUUUUCUCAGGAAGAAGAGGGUCAAACCAAUCAGUAGUCAGUUUUGGAUAUUGGCACCUGAAGUGACCACUGAAGGCAUGGGCACACCUCUGAGAACACAGGGAUUAAAAGCAAGAACUCCAGGAGAACUGUCUCUUUGGAGAGUGCAGACUCUCCCCCGCCCCCCACGGGCUAGGAGAGGUGUGCCAGGGGGUGAAGGGACUGGAACCGAGCUAGGCCGGCUCCUUUGGACAGAAGGGUGGAGGAAACCUGAGAUGUCUUUGUUCCCCACGCCCCCACACCACCAGAGGGAAACAGACAGAGAGCCUGAAGGCACCUGGAAAUUCACUGGCAGAGGAGAAGGAGAAAGGGUGGGGGGAAGGUGCCCAGCCCUGGGAGUUGGGGUCUGGGCUGAGAUUUCAGCAGUCAGGGCAGUCCAAGACUUUUAACCCUUUCCUGGGAAAUUAAAGCUUUGUGAAAUAUUACUCCUCCUCACCUUGAAAGAGAAAAGAGACAGUCUGGGACCUGAGAUGUUAGGGAAAGAAAGUUGGGGAGGAGAUGAUGGAGUGGCUUUUGGCUGGACUCUUCUUGUAAGCCAUUGACUGAGCCAAUUUCUCCUGCAACAGAGACUGCAUCUUUAGGGGGAUGCAAUGGUGAGCCAAGAGACCUUCUUCAGCAAAUUCCAGCACAGGAAUGGAGUGAACAGAGGAAAGCUGAGGAGGGUGUGGUGAUGCCCUCUGUCUUCAGGAAGAAGAAGAUCUCUGUUUGCACCCUCAGCCCCAGGGGAGGAGGAAAUUGGGGAGGACCGUGGUCCCAAAACGAAAAUUGAACUGUUGUUUCUUUUGUUCCUUGGCAAAGCAUCCUUAAAGGAGCCCUAUGAGCAGUCUGUCCAUGCACGGCGGUGAGGGCACUGUGACAUGCAGAGGAGAGUGUCACACUGGCAGAUUUUCUCUGGGCAGUGCCAUGUGUGACAUGGAAACACGAGAGGUGGCAAUUGUGUUUCCUGUGGGUCUGUGGUGCAAGAGAGACUCCUCUCUCCCCUGAUAGACUGAGUAUUGAUUAUCUGAAAGGUGAUGACCUGAUUGAGGGUCCAAGUUGUGUCCCGCUGUGAUUUGUUGGAGUUUGGGUGGGGGGAGGAGGAAUGUUCUGGAAGGUUUUAAUUCUGGAUUUAGUGUGUGUCUUUUAUUAUAGGAGUAGCUUAAUAAAGAUCUUUCUCCCUUAUGUCUAAGCUUGGGCCUGCUCUGCUCUGUUCCUUACCACAAUUCACAGCACUUAUUUGGGAAGCUGGAUUUGCAUGGGGGCGCUGGCAUUGUGCCAGUGUGAAACAUUGACAUUUACAUAUUCGAGAGUCAGAGUUCCCACGCAACUUCAUGUAAAAGUAAAAUAGUUUACAGAUUUCUCUGUGGGUGGAGAGAAAUGAUUGAUUGAUCUUUGGACCACUGUGGUUGGAGAGGUGGUGAUUCCUUCCUCCAAUCCACGGUCACCUUUGGAAUUCUAUAAAUACCAGAUGUUCUAAUAAAACUUUCUCUUUUUUUCUCCUUUGACCUUA